UGCUUAACACAUGCAAGUCGAACGGAAAGGCCCUGCUUUUGUGGGGUGCUCGAGUGGCGAACGGGUGAGUAACACGUGAGUAACCUGCCCUUGACUUUGGGAUAACUUCAGGAAACUGGGGCUAAUACCGGAUAGGAGCUCCUGCUGCAUGGUGGGGGUUGGAAAGUUUCGGCGGUUGGGGAUGGACUCGCGGCUUAUCAGCUUGUUGGUGGGGUAGUGGCUUACCAAGGCUUUGACGGGUAGCCGGCCUGAGAGGGUGACCGGCCACAUUGGGACUGAGAUACGGCCCAGACUCCUACGGGAGGCAGCAGUGGGGAAUAUUGCACAAUGGGCGGAAGCCUGAUGCAGCAACGCCGCGUGCGGGAUGACGGCCUUCGGGUUGUAAACCGCUUUCGCCUGUGACGAAGCGUGAGUGACGGUAAUGGGUAAAGAAGCACCGGCUAACUACGUGCCGGCAGCCGCGGUGAUACGUAGGGUGCGAGCGUUGUCCGGAUUUAUUGGGCGUAAAGGGCUCGUAGGUGGUUGAUCGCGUCGGAAGUGUAAUCUUGGGGCUUAACCCUGAGCGUGCUUUCGAUACGGGUUGACUUGAGGAAGGUAGGGGAGAAUGGAAUUCCUGGUGGAGCGGUGGAAUGCGCAGAUAUCAGGAGGAACACCAGUGGCGAAGGCGGUUCUCUGGGCCUUUCCUGACGCUGAGGAGCGAAAGCGUGGGGAGCGAACAGGCUUAGAUACCCUGGUAGUCCACGCUGUAAACGGUGGGUACUAGGUGUGGGGUCCAUUCCACGGGUUCCGUGCCGUAGCUAACGCUUUAAGUACCCCGCCUGGGGAGUACGGCCGCAAGGCUAAAACUCAAAGGAAUUGACGGGGCCCCGCACAAGCGGCGGAGCAUGCGGAUUAAUUCGAUGCAACGCGUAGAACCUUACCUGGGUUUGACAUGGAUCGGGAGCGCUCAGAGAUGGGUGUGCCUCUUUUGGGGUCGGUUCACAGGUGGUGCAUGGCUGUCGUCAGCUCGUGUCGUGAGAUGUUGGGUUAAGUCCCGCAACGAGCGCAACCCUUGUUCACUGUUGCCAGCACGUUAUGGUGGGGACUCAGUGGAGACCGCCGGGGUCAACUCGGAGGAAGGUGGGGAUGACGUCAAGUCAUCAUGCCCCUUAUGUCCAGGGCUUCACGCAUGCUACAAUGGCUGGUACAGAGAGUGGCGAGCCUGUGAGGGUGAGCGAAUCUCGGAAAGCCGGUCUCAGUUCGGAUUGGGGUCUGCAACUCGACCUCAUGAAGUCGGAGUCGCUAGUAAUCGCAGAUCAGCAACGCUGCGGUGAAUACGUUCCCGGGGCUUGUACACACCGCCCGUCAAGUCAUGAAAGUUGGUAACACCCGAAGCCGGUGGCCUAACCGUUGUGGGGGAGCCGUCGAAGGUGGGACUGGUGAUUAGGACUAAGUAG
rnacentral:rRNA from 1 species